rnacentral:tRNA from 1 species
UAUUUUUUGUUAUUAUUAAGUUUACUAUUUUGGCAAAAAAAUGUAAUGAUUUUAGAAUUCAUAAAUAU